AGACCACCAGCUAAGGUCCCAAAAUAUAUGUUAAGUGGAAAAGGAUGUGGCGUUGCCCAGACAACUAGGAUGUUGGCUUAGAAGCAGCCAUCAUUUAAAGAGUGCGUAAUAGCUCACUAGUCGAGUGACACUGCGCCGAAAAUGUACCGGGGCUAAACAUAUUACCGAAGCUGUGGAUUGUCCUUUGGACAAUGGUAGGAGAGCGUUCUAAGGGCGUUGAAGCAUGAUCGUAAGGACAUGUGGAGCGCUUAGAAG
rnacentral:rRNA from 1 species